rnacentral:rRNA from 1 species
CCCUGCUCCUUGCACACACCGCCCGUCGCUUCUACCGAAGUUGGUUCUUGGCGAGGUUGCGCCUAAUUGGCGCUAUCGAACCUGGGGUCAGCAACGGGGGAG